CUGUAGACCACCGUUGACUCUGCUUAGAUGGUAAAAUUUACUUCGAGGUGGUAAUUUAUCCCAAGUAAUGUGCUUCGACCUUAAAAAGAUUAGUUCAAGAUUAUUAAGGCUCUCAACCAGGCGCUCAUAGUAUUUGGACUCUUGAGGCUGCAUCAACCUGGUCGAAACUUCACGAGGUUCCUCCAUUCCCUCAAGUUUCUCCCGAGUGCACAUUCGAAUGUGUCGGUUUCUUACAAGAGCCUCUCCAUGUCAUGUACUAUGAUGCCCAAACUGUAGCUCCACUAAAGAUAAGUAUUACUUGUGUAGCCAAUCAUCCUCGUGAGUAUGUUCAGGCUGUUCUGUAUUUCAUAGACCCCAAACAUUAUCUCCACUAAGUUUCAAAACUAGUACCGGUCAGAAUCAUCCACCAGUUUCUUGUAAGCGCUUUACAACCUUUUUGUUACCGGUCCGACUUUUCCUUCACCAAUCACUCGCCCAUCAUUUUUCACAACCUAAAAGAGAAAUGAACUGAUGAUUAAUAAGCUGUUCUGAAACAAACCACCAAAGUGUUUGCAUUUCUUGAUUGCCUUAAACUAGAUACUAUUGUAUGUACCGGGCUAAGUUUUCUCAUAGUUCAUGUAGUCCAUACCUGAAAAAUAUUGAUAUAUAGUUGAAAUUCUAUCUUCACUGUAUCAUUUAAGAUUCUAAGAUCAAGGGAAAGAUGAGGAAACCUCAUCAGCUGUAUGGAAUUUCGACAAGCUGAUGUUUUGUUCUUCAAAUAUGAAGUUCUCUUUCACCACCAGUUCCAUGACCUAUACAUUGAUGAGAUGAUGAGUUUGGUUAUGUUGUAUAGUCACUGAGAUAUGUUGGAUUAAAGAAUGGUAAAUCUUCUCCUCUCUUACUGUAGCUCAAGUGAUGCCUGAUAUACAGUAAUCUGCACGGGGAGUGAGAACUCGGCCUUUCUUCUCCAUGAACUGCAUCAAACACACAAUCCCUCCACCAUUCAGUUGGCUUUUCUAGAGAAUAAUAUUUUCUUCACCAUGAUCUUACAAUGAUGACAUAUGAUACGGGGAAAAAAGAUGGAACCUUUGCGAGUAUGUUACUGAGGAGCUUGUUGGUGAUGAACAAAGAUGUUUUAAUGGGUGACCAGCUCUGUUUAGGCCAUGCCCAUUAAAGCCAUGCCCCUUUACACCCUGUAAAUUUAUGCUUGUUUAAUGUUUAUACACAUGCAUGUUUAAACUUUUUUUUUAAAGUCUGUUAGCUUAUAGGCACCCGUUUAGAUAUGUUUAUGUUUUUUAAAAUACAGUUUUUCAUGUCAUUAGUUUUUUUGUCAUAUCUUAAUAUAGUUUUUAAUUUUUUUAAUUCAUAAACAAUUAAAUCUUAAAUCUUAAAAUUAAAAUAAAAUAAAACACACUUAAAAUAUAAAUUAAUAAAGAAAAUUUUUAAGGAGAAAUUUCAUGUUUACCAAUUUCAUGGUACCAUUAUUCAUCUUUACUACCACUAAAAGAACAUUUUCAAAAAUAAUUUCUUCAUUAAGUGGCAAAAGACUCUUAUACACUUGUUCUCUAUAUAAAUAUAUAAUAAAUAAUUAUUUAAAUAAAUAAAAAAAUAUAUAGUUUUUUUAAUGUUUUCAAAUUAUACUUUUUCAAAUUCAAACUUUUUUAUAAUUUUUUUUUUAUUUUUUUUAAUUUUGUUUCAAAAUUUCUUUUUAAAAAUCGAAAGUUAUGUUUGAAACUAUUUUCAAUUUUUUUAAUAUUUUUAAAUAUUUAUUUAUAUAUUUAUUAGAAUCCUAAAUUUCGCAUUCCAAAGAUCUUACCCCAUCCUUCAACUCUAAACCCUAUGUCUAGAUUAGUAAAACAUAGUGGUAUAAAUAUCUUUUACUCUUCAUUAAAAAUGAGAGUAAAAAUAGUUAGUGCAAACAUGAAAAAUGGUAUUAUGAAUAUGGUAUUUGUGGCAAUUUUCUAAAUUUUAAUAAGAGCUUUAAUGAAAUAAAAAAAUUAUAAAUAAACUGUUUUAUUUGAUUUCAAAAAUUUUAAUAAAUAAAAGUUCAAAUUACUACAAAAAUUGGAAACUAAAAAUAUUUUAACUUUUAUUAAAUAUUAAUUAAUUCAUUGUAUCAUAAAAUAUCAAAAACUUAUAACAUAUUUUAAACACAAUUUUAAUCUAAGAAUUUUUCAAAAACACAAAUUAUUUAAAUUAUUAUAUUAAAAUUUUUAUUUGAAGUUAGUUUGAAAUAUUCUAAAUAUGAUUUUUGUCCUUUUCUUUAAGAAAACUCAUAAACGGAUAUCCACUCAUUUAGUAGGUACUAGUAUUGAUCUUUUGCUAUGCACGGGCAUUUGUUUUUAUAACUCUAUACAUUUGUUUUAUAAUUUACAAUGGAAAAAUUUAUUUGGAGGGUUAUGUAAUUUACAGUAGAAAUAAAUGGUAUUGUUAGAGUUAUAUUUAUUGGUAAACUUAAAAAGAAAAUUGAAAUUAUGUUUAUAUUACAACAGUCCAAUAUGCAUGGACACAAGAUGAAAGUUAAAUAAGAAUCUAUUUAACAAAACCAAAAACAAAUCAUUACAUAUAAAAAUCACAUUGAGGAAAAGCAUAUCUUUGUAAAUAAUUGACGUUAAUAUAUUUUAUAGUCUUUUUUCCUUUAUAUGUAUUUUGUUUUCGUGUAGUAUUGUUUUACUAGUACUCUUAUACUAUACUUGCAAUGAAAAUAUAGAAUCUUUUCUUUUUGUGGUGAUUCUUAUAUUUCUUAGGGGCUUUGGACGUGUGCUGCCGUGUUAUUCUCUUUUCCCUAACUAUUGCUACUACACCAAAUAAACGUAAUUUGUCCAUUUAAAAAAUGUUAUUACAUAUCUCGUUUAACCUUUACCUUUUUUAUUAUGAAGCAUGUAGCUUUUAUCAAUAUCUAAAAACAAAAAGUUAUAAAUAGAUCAAAGAGUAAAAAGUUCAUGAAAAUUAAAUUAAUUUGAGAAUGAGAGUUUGGGUGUUUUUAGUUUCACAAACCUGAAUUUGAUUUUUAAUCCUCCAGUUUUGAGUACGCUUCAACCUAAUCAAUGCAUAGUAUAUUCUUUUGCUCAUUUAGUUGAAAACAAUAUAUUUUGAAGACUAUUGUUGUGCCACUGUUUGGUGAGAAACUAUUUCGAUCUACAUCUAAAAUUGUAGAUUUGACACUAUGAAUAGUCUCCUUAGAAGUUUUAGAUAGAUAAGGUUAGAAGUUGAAAUCUCAGAAAGAGUCAAUGGAACAUUAUUGCAAAAAAGGGUGACCAAAAAAAAAAAAAAACAUUAUUGCAAAAAAAGGUAACUUACAAUUUAUAAAAAGAGAAAUUCUUUACGAUAGACCUAACAAUUUUUUUGUCAUAAAUAUAGACCUUACAAAUAAAAAUGACCAAAAUAGAUUUAAAUGUUUUAUCAAAAGAAAUAAAUAUACACUUAUACCUCUAAGGUUAAUUAAUAUAGACAUUAGGGUUUAAAGUUAAGGGGCGGAGUUUAAGGUUUAAGGUUUAAGGUUGAGAAUUUAGGGUUUAGACUUGAGGAGUGGGGUUUUGGAGAUAUGAUUUCAAAUUUUAAAAUUUUAAAAAAAAUUAAAAUUUUCAAAAUAAAAAAUUGCUAUUCUGGUCAUUUUAGUUUUUGGGAUCUAUUUUUGUGAUAAAAUUUUUAAAAGGUCUAUUUGAGAUAAUUGCCUUUUUUUUAAUGAGGUAGAGUUAAAUUUAAAUAUAUAGCAACGUGAGUGGGUUUCAAAGAGUGAUCAUGGGUGUGUGGGAUUUCAUUUUGUAAAGAAAAAGAAAUUAGUAGAAAUCAGUUGAUAAAUGACAAUACUUUUGUAUUUGAUAUUUUUUUCUUUGCUUUGUGUUUUUUUUUUAAAUUGUAAAGUAAUUUUCAUGUGUGAAAUUUUUAUUGGUCAAAUGCUACAUUGCACAGAAGCUUCAACGGACGUACGCUUCCUACUUCGGAACUGGAAACAGAAUCGGAACCUUAUGGAAGCUUACGAAAUCUUGCUUUCAAAACACUUCUAAAAUAUACUCUUUAAAAACAUGUUGAAAGCUUACUUUAAAAAAAAAAACACACACAAUAUCAUAAAUCAAUAAAAAUAUAAAAUCAUAGUUUUUAGUUUAUAUUAAAUACAAAUUUUAAUAGUAAUGAAAUAGAGGGAAUAAAAAUAUACAAACAUUAAAAUUAAUACUAUAAAUUAUCUUUAUGAAUUGAGUUUUUUUUAUCAAAGAUAUAGCUAUAUUGAAAUA